GCUCUAUGAACUUGCUGCGCCGAAGGCUACUGAACUUUAAGCAUCGCGCAUCCCAAGGGCUGCUGCAGGUAGGCAGGUACUUGCCAAUCCUGUCAUGAUGUCACGUCCAUUCAGUAUAUAAGAGUCCUUCGAAAUACCGCAACAGGAGGACAUCUAGUUCUUCAUGGACCGCAGCAUCUUGCACGAGAUGAAGCUGAACGAUGCUGAACUUGUUACCGGAAUGGAUUUGUGCUCGAGAUGGGAUCUGGUCUUUAUGGAUGAUUCGCAAUAGACAGGAUCGCAGUCUUGUGACGAGAAAUUCAUCUCACGUUAACUCAAGGAAGAUUGGUCCUUGUUUGCAGCUGGUAAUCCUUCAGUGUUUCAAUUUGAUCAGUCAAACCCCGCUAGACGUUGCGUCCCUAUGUUGGAGUCAGCACGGAAGAAAAAGGCCACGUGAAACAAGAAGAAUAAGAGGAGGAAGAGGAAGAAGAAAAAUAAGGAGAGAGGAGUUCGCCGCGUCUAGGCACCAUCGGGAUCCCAAGGAGCUGGAGUGGAAUACGAAAAUACGAGAAUACGGGAAUACAGGAUGCAAGAACCCUGGGAGCCGCUUGCAUCGUACGUGCCUUGUAAUCGAGAGACAACAUGCUCGUUG